rnacentral:lncRNA from 1 species
UUUUAGAGUCUUGAUCUGUGUCUCACUGGCUGAGCACUCAACAGGGAGGGAGUAGGUAGCUCAUAUUGCUUGCAGAAUUUACAUAAAGUGCUUAAACAGAUAUGUAAACCCUGGGUGACUUGCCAGGCAUGGUAGUAAAAUUUCUCAGCAGGCGUGAUACCCUGUAGCGAGGACCUUCUAAAUGGACUCACAGGGAGAAAUGGGGCGGUUCAAAGGUAAAGACAAUAGUUUCAAGCCUACACCAAGGCGAGCUGGCACAGGGAUUGCCACAGAAAGAGAGGUGGCAGUGUUUAACCACUCCAGUUCUGGAAAACUCCAUCCAUCCCUCCUCCACCACCACCACCACCACCACCUCCUCUUGCUCAACACAGUGCUUCAAAGGAGCUUGGUGAAUGGGCGAGUCUUGGGCGAUGGGACUGAACACAACCUCCUGCUCACUGGGCCACCUGGAUUGCCUAAUAGCUGUCAACUCAUCCUCUCUGCGGUGGGGCUUUAGUGUUGCCCUGAAGACAGCACAGCACAGCGGCUGUUGCAGGCUACCACUGGAAGCUUCUGCCAAAGCGGGCUAUCCCAUCAGCCCUCUGGCACACUGUGUUGAUCAGUAGAUAAAACCUUCCCGGCAGUCACAGCCGCCGCUGCCACUGACGAGGCCACAGCAGCGAGCAAGCGGCUCUGCGGAAUUCACUAACUGCCUCUCCACCUGCCGUCACCUCCUUGGGUCCCUCAAGGUUCUCCUUGUGGCUGAUAGUCAUGGUGAUUGCUUGACCUCGGGCCUUGCAGCUGGCUGGCUUCCAGGAAGCUCCUCUGAUGACAAGAUAUUUCCUUAACACCUACCUUGUGCUGUGUAGACUUGGCCUAUGAGCAUGCGGUGAGGAAUGGAGGAAGCGCUCCAGCUACAAGACAUGAACAAUGUCCUCCUCGCCUGCAUGGAGGGAGGUCCCAAGUCAUAAACCCACAGAGAAGGCCGCAAGAGCCGCGGAUGUCCCUAGAGUGAGGAAAGGACAAAUCAACCCUUUAACUUUGCUUCCCUUCCCCCUGCACCACUGCUGAGUGUCUCAGCUUCAGUUUCUGAUCAGUCUUGCCAGAGCUGUGUCCAUUCUCUCCCUUCCUUUUCACAUUCUAACCCCUCUUAGCCUUGGUACCUGGGUGGUGGGGAUGGGGAGGAAAGAGGAGAGACAACGAGGUGGCGAGAGAUGACAGUGCUCAUCACCUUUAAGUGGGUUCCAGCUCAAUGCUAAAUUCAGCAUCAGCUGCCAGGCAGCUUCCAAGGGUCCCUCGCAUGAGGCCCCUCUUGCCCAAGGAUCAUGCUGGCCUCAGCAUUUCUGACAGACCUCACCUUCCAGCGGCUACCAAUCUUCCCUCAAGGAACCCUCAAAACACUGCCUGUUUUUCUUCUCCUCUUUUUUUGUCCCUGCCUUCAGCACAAAAACCAGGGGAUUCUUUGGAUUUUCUUUAGAAUAUCCAAUCAAGGGACAAAAAGGCACAGACAGACAAACCAUUACAACAGAAGCAAUACCCAAACAGAAAGACUCUCUUUCCAGAAUUUAGGAAUUGGCAGGAGGUUCCUUUUCCCAUCUUUGACACCUCUAGAAGCCCACAGUCUAACUAAGAGUUAGCUGUGAAUACAUUACAUAAAGACUCAAAAUUACUGCAGAGUAAAUAUAUCUAAAGAUUUGAGCUACCUUACAAGAGCUAAAAUUGAGUAGAGAAUGGUUAUACUAUUCUUCACUAGAUAAGAAGUUUAAAUUCAAAAACAAAUAAAUAAAAGGUAAUUCGUGCUCAAGUGGCCCAAAGGCCUAUUGCAGAUACGGCUGGAGAGCAGAGGAACAGUCUAGGUACCAUAUGCACUCCCUGGGCUGAGUCCACACGGCCAGUCCUGGUGGCAGUGAAUGUGGGACCUGGCCCUCAUAAGAAGGCAUAGUACGCUGGACUCAGUGUCUCAUGCCUGUAAUCCCAAUAUUUUGGGCAGCCAAAGCAGGUGGAUGACUUGAGCUCAGGAGUUUGAGACCAGCCUGGCAACAUGACGAGACCCUGUCUCUACUAAAAAAAAAAAAAAAAAAAAAAAAAAAAAAAAAAAAAAGAGGGGGCACGGUGGUGUGCCUAUAGUCCCAGCUAUUCAGGAGGCUGAGGUGGAAGGACACUUGAGCCUGGUGGGGCCAAGGUUGCAGUGAGCCAAGAUCCUGUCUCCAAAAAAAAAAAAAAAAAAUAUCAGUAGAAUGGAAAGCUCAAGAUGAGUCACUUUCAUUUAUUUUACCAACAAAAUUCCAUUGUUAGACGCAUGGGGAGAGAAAAGGCCAGUGUCAUGGGAACACAAAAUAGAGUUCACAUUUCUAAGUCUUUCUAAGGUACAAGGUGGAUUUUUACAACAGUUUCAAAUAAUCUAAAUCCUUCCCUAAAUGCUGCCUGUGCAUAUUUACACACUGUCAGCUUAUCAGAUAGUUCAACUAUAAGCAGUUAAAUGCUAAUUAGAACUUUGUCACACCGAUCAGCUUUGUAAAACAUGGGAAGGUGCCAGUGCAGCAUCCCCUGGCCUGGCCAGCUGAUGGGCCCUUCCCAUCAGCAGUCCAUAAGGUAGGAUGUGGCCUCAGGUGGUUCUGGAUUAUCUCAUUAGAGCUGUAGUGAGAAGCUCACUAGAGAUUUAAAUUCUAAGGCCCGAGGCCCUUAAGGCUAAGUUGAAAAGCCCAAGUACUCAGUGCCAUCGCUCUAUUAAAACUGGGAUGAAAAGAAAGCUGGGAAGGAACUGGUCUGAAAAGCUAGCUGAAAAGAAAGCUGUUAGCCACCCAGACCUGGUCCCAGCCACAAGGAUCUGACAUUUGGAACAUAAAGCUAUAGUGUGGCCUUAACUCCGAGAUAUUCAAAUAGAUGAGAAAAAGGGUAAAUAAUUUUAGCAAAAAUGUGUCAUCAUUUUCAAGACCCAGACUACCAGAUUCUAUAAUAGAAAACUGAGAAGAUAAGAUAAAACAUCUAAAUACAUGUUCUGCCUAAGAUUACUUUUGAGGUUUUGUUUGUUGUGUCACUGAAUUCUGCCCAAAACUUGUGUACAAUUUGCUUAUUGUCUUGACACCGUCCCCCAACCAUUUCCAUUUAUUUAUUUUUCUAAGAUUUUCUUUCCAACCGAAAUAGACUAGCCAGGGUAACGCCACAGCCCCAAAUAACAUUGAGUUGGGAUAAAUGAGAGGUACUUCAGUUGUUCAGGCAGUAUCCUUGAUAACUCAAAAGACAAUGUUUAUCUAAUUUAAACAUAAACAAACAAAAUUUUUAAAUAUAAGCCUGAGGACAACACAAAACUGAGAAGUAGAGGGGGUUUGUUCAUGUAAAUACCCAGUACUACAUGGAGAAUCUAGCCCCAGUGGUGAACACCUUGGUACAGCUUCACCAUUAAAGAUAUACUAAAAAAACAAACAAACAAACAAAAAUCCCAUCUAUUAUAGGAAACAACAAAUGCAACAAAAUCCUUUUUUUUUUUUUUUUUGAGAUGGAGUCUCACUCUGUCACCCAGGGUGGAGUGCAGUAGCGUGAUCUUGGCUCACUGCAACCUCCGUCUCCUGGGUUCAAGCAAUUCUCUGCCUCAGCCUCCCGAGUAGCUAGGAUUGCAGGUGCCCACCACCAUACCUGGCUAAUUUUUGUAUUUUUAGCAGAGACAGGGUUUCACCAUAUUGGCCAGGCUGGUCUUGAGCUCCUGACCUCGUAAUCUACCCGCCUCGGCCUCCCAAAGUGCUGGGAUUACAGGCAUGAGCCGCUGCGCCCGGUCAACAAAAUCUUGUUCUAAGAAAUAUCAAACGGGGAUUGGGGCGGUUAUUUUCUACGCUGAAAAAUCCCCUAUUUAAGACCCUAUGCCAUGGUUUGAAUAUGUCCUCCAAAAUUCAUGUGUUGGAAACUUAGUCUGCAAUGUAACAAUGUUAAGAGGUAGGAUACCUUUAAGAGGUGAUUGGGUUAAAGCUAUUAUUGCUGGAGUAGAUUAGUUACUGUGGGAAUGGGUUUCUGAUAAAAGAAUGAGUUCAGCUCCCUUCCUUUCUCUCUCUCUCUCUCUCCCUCCCUCUCUCUUACCCUCUGUCUUCCAUCAUGAGAUAGCACAGCAAAAAGGCCCUCACCAUAUGCAACCUCAUCAAUCUGGGACUUUCCAACCUCCAGAAGUGUAAAAAAUAAAUCUGUUUUUCAUAAAUUAUCAAGUCUUAGUCUGUUAUAGCAGUACAAAAUGGACUAAGACAUCCUCCAACUUCUAAAGGACAACUUCCACAGAACUCACAAGAGAAACCCCAUUCAAGGAGCUCUAGGAAAGACCAGUGUUAUGCAACUUCAUUCUUAGGAAGCUGAGUGAUUCUAGAGAUGGUCUCCUCUCAAAAAGAAUCAAGUUAUAAACUCUGGCCAAUGCCAAACUAAUUUGAUGUUGUUUACACAACAUGAGAACUUUGGUCAUGCUCUUAUUGUGGACAUGCCUAAGGUUUAUGUAAGAGACUAGAUCUCUGCCUGUAUUAUUUGGGCUCUUAGCCACCACUGGAGCAGUGGACUCUCUACCUCUUUAGAGCACCUGUACUAAAUGCUGCUAUAGGGUCAUCUUAUAGUAGAAAGCAGAAAGGCAAGUGAGCAGGCAAGACAGAGAGGACAUCAGACCACAUUUAUCCUUUGAUCAGGAGCCACUCCCAUAGUAAUAGGCCCUCAUGACCUAAUCACCACUUAAAGGCCCCACCUCCCAGUACUAUUA